rnacentral:tRNA from 1 species
UGGGGUGUGGCCAAGCGGUAAGGCAUCGGAUUUUGGUUCCGACAUGCGCUGGUUCGAAUCCAGCCACCCCAA